rnacentral:rRNA from 1 species
GAUGAACGCUGGCGGCGUGCCUAAUACAUGCAAGUCGAGCGAACGGACGAGAAGCUUGCUUCUCUGAUGUUAGCGGCGGACGGGUGAGUAACACGUGGAUAACCUACCUAUAAGACUGGGAUAACUUCGGGAAACCGGAGCUAAUACCGGAUAAUAUUUUGAACCGCAUGGUUCAAAAGUGAAAGACGGUCUUGCUGUCACUUAUAGAUGGAUCCGCGCUGCAUUAGCUAGUUGGUAAGGUAACGGCUUACCAGGGCAACGAUGCAUAGCCGACCUGAGAGGGUGAUCGGCCACACUGGAACUGAGACACGGUCCAGACUCCUACGGGAGGCAGCAGUAGGGAAUCUUCCGCAAUGGGCGAAAGCCUGACGGAGCAACGCCGCGUGAGUGAUGAAGGUCUUCGGAUCGUAAAACUCUGUUAUUAGGGAAGAACAUAUGCGUAAGUAACUGUGCACAUCUUGACGGUACCUAAUCAGAAAGCCACGGCUAACUACGUG